CCAGAAGGAGUGCUGGAGCUGGAACAGGAGCACGGUCCCGGGGGUCAGCUCCCGCCCUGCGUCUGAGAUGAGGGAAGGGCAGUCCCGGGACACGGGCUCCAAGCGGACGAACAGAGCGAACACAACUGUUGACAAUGGGGCUUUGAUCUGCCUAAUGUCACAAGACAGCCGGGGACAAACGCCAGGCCCUGGGUGACUCCCGGUUCCCACAGGAGAUGCCCUGUGCAGGUGCAUGAAACGGCCCACGCCUCCUGCCAGCAGCUCUGGGUUCCCGGCCUGCUGCCCUGGGAAGGAAGCGGCAGGAAGAGCCCGGAGCCCAGAGAGACAGCGGCUGGAGGGACAAGGCUUCCUGAGAGCUUCCUGCUCUAGCCUCCCGAUCACUCACUUCCAAGAAGAGUCCUGCGUGGAUCACUGACCUCAGGCCCAUGAGGGACAAAAUCCCCAUCAACUUCUGUGUCCUCUGUCUUGGCCUCUGGGCGCCGUGAUACCAGCCGCGUGACGGUGAAGACACAGUUAUGUAUUAAUAAACACCACGACGCACUUGCUGGA